CCUUUUGGAGUUAGUUAGACCAAAAAAAUGAAAAAAGAAAAAAAUAUUUGGGGGUUUUCGGGCUUCCUGAAAGUAAUACCCGGGUAUUAGGUUUUGGGACUAGGGAAAGGUUUAAGGGUUUUGGCGUUAGGGUUAAAAUCACUGUCCAAAACCUUUGUAGGAACUCUUUUCCAACCUUUUGGAGUUAGUUAGACCAAAAAAAAAAAAGAAAAAUGAAAAAAAAAUAUUUGGGGUGUUCAGGCUUCCUAAAAGUAAUACCCGGGUAUUAGGUUAUGGGGCUAUGGUAAGGUUUAAGGUUUUGGCGUUAGGGUUAAAAUCACUGUCCAAAACCUUUGUAGGAACUCUUUUCAACCUUUUGGAGUUAGUUAGACCAAAAAAAAAGAAAAAUGAAAAAAAAUAUAUUUGGGGUGUUCAGGCUUCCUAAAAGUAAUACCCGGGUAUUAGGUUAUGGGGCUAUGGUAAGGUUUAAGGUUUUUGGCGUUAGGGUUAAAAUCACUGUCCAAAACCUUUGUAGGAACUCUUUUCCAACCUUUUGGAGUUAGUUAGACCAAAAAAAAUGAAAAAUGAAAAAAAAAAUAUUUGGGGUGUUCAGGCUUCCUGAAGUAAUACCCGGGUAUUAGAUUUGGGCUAGGGUAAGGUUUAAGGUUUUUGGCGUUAGGGUUAAAAUCACUGUCCAAAACCUUUGUAGGAACUCUUUUCCAACCUUUUGGAGUUAGUUAGACCAAAAAAAAAUGUAAAAUGAAAAAAAAAUAUUUGGGGUGUUCAGGCUUCCUGAAAGUAAUACCCGGGUAUUAGAUUUCAAGGCUAGGGUAAGGUUUAAGGUUUUUGGCGUUAGGGUUAAAAUCACUGUCCAAAACCUUUGUAGGAACUCUUUUCCAACCUUUUGGAGUUAGUUAGACCAAUGAAAAAUGAAAAAAGAAAAAAAAAAUUUUUGGGGUUUUCGGGCUUCCUGAAAGUAAUACCCGUGUAUUAGGUUUUGGGACUAGGGAAAGGUUUAAGGUUUUUGGCGUUAGGGUUAAAAUCACUGUCCAAAACCUUUGUAGG